ensembl:lncRNA
CUGGAAACAACAGGAAGCUCCCCUCCCCUGGUUGCAGAUUAGUGGAUCCUCCCAUGCUGGAACCAGAUAUUGCUGUGGACGGUUUGGGAACAAAAGCCCUUGGGGGCACCUGAGUGACUCAGUUGGUUAAGUGUCUGACUCUUGAUCUCAGCUCAGGUCUUGAUCGAGCAGAUGAGUUCAAGCCCUGCAUUGGGCUCCAUGCUGGGCGUGGAGCCUACUUUAAAAAAAAAAAAAAAGCCCUUGGGUAUGUGCCUGUUGGUGUAUGUAUGUGUGUGUCCUUUAAGAAAAGAGUGGGAAGAGCAUUUGGGGUGCAAUGGUACCAUGUGGGCAAAAACAGGCCAUGGUAUGGGCCAUGAUCCUGUCCUUCAGCACUGAGAGAGCAUCCUUGGAAAGAAAGAGAUCCUCAGGGAGGUGGAUUGGAGGCUGGUCAGAUGCAGACUUUUUGUCUGUUUCCAGAACAUUUGAAAGCUCUUGUUGUGACACCGUCCAAUCAACUUCUUGUUUUUGGAGCUUCAGCUUGAGAAGAUAAAUUAAUAAUAAGAGGACGGUUUCUCAGUGCUCUGUGGAAAUCAGCUUUAUCAGGGCUCUAGAGACGGAGUGUGUCCGUGUAAGACACAAGCAGCUGCUUCUCUGUCGCACUCAGCUGGCUCUUGGUGGCGGGGCAGCCAGCAAUCCGGGAUGCUCUGGGCCCUGCCUCUGGCGACAUUGCCAGCUCAGCAUGAACGUGACUGACCGGAAAAUGUCCCAACCUCGUUUCUGCUCGAAGCUGAAGAAUGAAGGAAAGUCAACGCUGCUUUGCGUGGCUCCCGUGGAGGACUGAGAAGGGUGGAGAAGAGAGGGGCCAGUUCCCUGGGGUUCCGUGUCUGCUAGCUGCUGCUAAGCGCCUCUGAGAGACUCUGUUUCCAGCUAGAGGAGGGCACCUGUCCUGCGACCCGCAGGACCUGGCAUAGGAAGAGUCUGCGAGGACUCCCUGGCAAAAUGAACCGGACCAACUGGAGGUUCCAGGACUCCCGAGCUGACAGCGAUGCCUUCCUGGAUGACCCCACCCCGCUGCUCUGCUCCGAGAACUUCACUACCCUGAAGCCAGAGGCUAAACCUGAUGAACUCAGCAGCCUACGCACGGCAGCCACAGCCAUUUCGGGCUCCGUUGGUGUGGUGGCUCUCAUCUUGCUCCUGGUGGGUCUCUUGUCCAUGACCCUGAAGAAAUGGAGACAUGAGAGACUAUUUAAGAAACAACUGAGGCACCAGACCAACUUUCUCCAAAAAACUUCGGAGCUUUCCUGCCAUGCUGAUGCCAUAUAUUCCAAUGUGAUCAACCUGGCUCCCUGGAAAGAGGAUGACUUCUCUGUCUAUGCCAACGUGCCCCCUUUCAAUCGCCCCAGGAAGACGUCACCAGACCGAGUGGAAUAUGCCUCCAUUGUAAUCCACUGACGGGAAGCCAGCGAGAUGCGUCAGACAACGCAUCCCUUUGAGACCUGCUUGCGGGACGGACAGCUCCCACGGCCACCUGCACCACCCCUUGGGUCACCACGGUCCCUUCACUUACUGUGCUCAGCGUUUGCCAAAUCAACUAAUUUCCCUAAGUCCGGGCUUUCUCAUCUGUGAAAUGGAAAUAAUAAUGGCUACUUCAACAGGUGUUGUGUGAUGAUGUUACAUGAAAAUAGUCUAUAAACUGUAAGAUGCUAUAGAAAAUGUAAAGAAGUACCAACCGGUUGUUAUAAUUGAUUAUGUUGUAAGGAGUUGUUUUUCAUUCAUUAGUUGAGUGAACUCGAUCAGCAGGACUGUGUUGCCAUCAUUAGAAGGGACUGGCCAUUAUCCGUUAACACACUUUUUUUUGGUUUUUUUUGGGUUUUUUUUUUUUUUGAGAACUUGCCUCAAAUAUCAUUCAGCAGCAGCUCCUCAUAAACAGGAACUCAGCAAAUAAAUAAAUUGUAUGAGCCCCGAUUUUUCA